AUUUGGCAUGUUCUUUUCAUGUUCGUCUGGAAAAAUAGUUUUUUGCUACCUAUAAGGCGAUUAGAGGUGGAAAAUCUCUUAUGAGGAAUGAGACGAACUGCAAAGUUUUGAAAGUUGGUAUGGCGAAGAUUCGAAUGCACGAUACAGUUGUGAGAAUGCUGACAAGUAUGCGGCAUGUUCCUAGGUUGAUGCAAAAUUUGAUCUUGUUAGGUGCGUUAGACUCGAAGUGUUGAAAAUUUUUUAAGCUUCAAGUGGAGCUAUAAGGGUCCGAAAGAGAGAUUAGGUCAUGUGCGAGGCGAACUAGUGUUGGAACUUAUACGUUUUAAACAAAAGCACGGUCAGAAUGAAAGGAAAAGUAGUUAGGUUCCAAAAGAUCACGGAGAUGCAGUUGCUGGAGAUGCAGCGGUGGAUGUGGCAAUAUCGAGCGGAGGAGACAAGCUCAAAGUAGACCUUGCAUGGUGAUUUCGAUUGCAGCAGUUGAAGACUGAAUAUUGGAUUCGCAUUAUUCUUAUUACAUUACUCCAAACAUGUCUUUGUUUGAUACUCACAAAUCUUGUGAAGGUAGGAGUGUUAUGAUGGAUAAUAACACUAGCUGCAAGAUUCACUACAGGAAAUACUUUAUUUAACGAAAGGAUAAACCGUCGUUAUAAACACAUAAUUCCGUCGUUACUAUUCAAUAACGACGGACAAUUUAACCGUCGUGACCCGUCGUAAAAGCUUCCGCCGUUAAAAACAGUUAUGACCAAAAUCAACCGCCGGUCGUUAUAGAUCACUAACGACCAAAUCAUUUGUCGUCGUUAUUUAGUAACAUUAGUAACUACUCUAUUUUACAUUAACGACCAAUUCUACCAUCGUAACAGAUAUUAUGAAAAGUAUAAUUAUCAUAUUCAUUGUGUUAAUAACGACCAAACAUUUCGUCGUUAUUAUAACUAACGACUACAUAUUCGGUCGUUAAAAGCAUAUCACAAGCUAUAAAAGAAGAUUAUAUAACAACGACCACUCUCCCUGUCGUUAAUAAUAUACAUAUUGCAUUUGAGAUCAUAAUUUAUUUUUAACCAAUUAUUAUUUUUAAUCACAUAAAUACUUGAAAUACACAAUAAUAUAAAUACAAAUAUACACACACAUAUAAACAAACUUACAACAAAUCCACAAUUUUUAGAUGUAUGAUAAAACUUCAUUAAUAAUUGAAGUAAUUAGCAUCCACAAUAUUCAUAUUUUUUGUCCAAAACAUUCAUCUAUUACAUAUAGUUUCAAUUCCAUCACACCAUUACAUAUAUAGUCAACAUUCACCAAAAGAAAAACAAAGUACUAAAUAUCAUCAUUACAUAUAUAGUCAACAACUAUCAUCAUUUCUCCAAAAUGGGUCCGCUUAGAAACAAAAAAGAGAGCUUGCAAUUCAUUGUCUUUUCUUGUCCUAAAAAUCACGAUGAACUACCUACAAAAAAGAAAAUGGUGUAAAAGUUAAAACAAUAUAAAAGUAAAUCAUGCAAAUAGAUUUUGAACAACAUAGCAAAUAAACAACUCAUAAAAUCUAAAACAACUUUUGUAUACCACUAUAAACCUGCAAAAAUUUUGCAAAUCAAUAUAAAUAAGAUUACAUUGUUUAUCUUUCGGAUGAAGGA
rnacentral:lncRNA from 1 species